UGGGGAAUUUUGGACAAUGGGCGCAAGCCUGAUCCAGCCAUGCCGCGUGCGGGAAGAAGGCCUUCGGGUUGUAAACCGCUUUUGUCGGGGAAGAAGCGCUUCGGAAUAAUACUCUGAAGUAAUGACGGUACCCGAAGAAUAAGCACCGGCUAACUACGUGCCAGCAGCCGCGGUAAUACGUAGGGUGCAAGCGUUAAUCGGAAUUACUGGGCGUAAAGCGUGCGCAGGCGGUCGUGCAAGACAGAUGUGAAAUCCCCGGGCUCAACCUGGGAACUGCAUUUGUGACUGCACGGCUGGAGUGCGGCAGAGGGGGAUGGAAUUCCGCGUGUAGCAGUGAAAUGCGUAGAUAUGCGGAGGAACACCGAUGGCGAAGGCAAUCCCCUGGGCCUGCACUGACGCUCAUGCACGAAAGCGUGGGGAGCAAA
rnacentral:rRNA from 1 species